rnacentral:lncRNA from 1 species
AUCCUGAAAGUUAAGUUAACUUCCGGACACCCUGUAUAGAAGAAUAGCUGUCUUCAGGUUAGCAUUGAAAUUAAAUGCCAGAAUCAAGGUACGGGUACGGGUACAGAUCUUUUGUCACACUCUGAAGGUACGUAAACUUUAGUUGAUAUUGAUAUUCCGCAUUUCUGAUUUGGAUGCCAUUUACCGCCAAAGGUGCGGAAGUCCGCAAUGUUCCGAGUGAUAAAUAUAAAAAUAAUAUCUGAAUUGGCAACAGUGUAGAGUUUUGAGGUUCGUAAACAAUCUUUUGAUGCUCAACGUUGCAGGAAAAAUUCGGUAAACAUGAUGGCCUGUUGGCUCUGUUGUGGUUAAAAAGUUAGGCGCAAUUAUACGCCCUCCAUACAAAGUACCGCUUGUUGCAUUUCCGCAACAAUCAACGUUCAGAUGCUCACCAAACACCAUACGCAACAAAAAUAUAACCUCAAAAUCAAUUUUUGUAAACAAACCGUUUUCAGUUUUUUUGGCUUUGGCUUUUUAAUGUGACUUUUUCACCUGAAUUAUUUUAGUGCAAGGCCCUCUCAUGAAAGGAAGAGACUAGAUUUAGCAAGUCGAUCUCCUCUAAAGUGCUUUAAAAAAUGAUUCAUUCCUCCCUCGUGAGGAGAAUUGCCUUUAAGGCAACUGUGCCUUCAACGCUUCGAAGUUAUGAGUAUUCUCUCAGUUCCUUUCUCCACGUAUAUAGUUGCAAAGAUAUUUAGAUUAUUGUUAACUUAUCUCAAAAAUGGAUCUAUAGCAGUGCUCAUUACAUUUAUAUCUAGAGCAGAAAUCAAUUAUCAUGGUAGUCCCAGAAUUAUUUUCUACCGCACUUCAUCUAUGCCAAUAUUUGUGGCUGAAGUGGAAGGAUAGAUGGUCAUACCUGAAGCUGUAUUUUAUCUUAUUCUACAACGAGCACCUUGAGUCAUUUUGGAUGUACUCCUGGGACCAAUGUAUUGGUUUUGAUACUUUACGAAGCGGUUGGACCGGUAAGAUAUCUUCAAUCCUAAUCCCUUUUCCCGAG